GGCAGGGUUAGGCACACAGAGGCUGGGCCAGUUGAAACUCCACUAUAUUUACCCAAACCAAGGGGAGUGGAAGUGGGGGAUUAGUUACAACAACUUACAGCCUGUGCUCUUAUACAGCCCAGAGGAGGACAAAGGCCACUUCAGGAAGAGGAAACAAUACCACCAGGACGUGCAUGAGCCUUCCUGUCUUCCUGCUUAAAGUCGUCAUCACACCUCAUUCAGCCCUGACCCCUGGGGAUCAACGUGUGACCUCACCCACCGCUUCAAACCAGGGUCAGAGGUCAAUGUUUCAGCGGGCUGAAAGCGAGACUCUACAGAUGUCUGUCUUGUCGUCAUCAACUACCAGAGUUGAGAAGAAAGACAACACAUUGUUGUGUUCGGCUGGAAUCUUAAGGGAUUGAGGUUCGUUUAUAGGAUGGUACAUUUAUGCUGGCAUGGUAAUCGUCAUUGUAGCACAUGGGAGGGUGAGGUGGAGUGCCACUGGCAUCAUUUCCAAAGAUAGACACAGCAAGAAAUAAUAUUUCCAGAUUUUCCUAAUAUAAUGAUAAGAUAACGCAUAGCCGUGUACUCCUGGGGCUGUGUGUGUAUUCUCAGGCAUGUUGGGACAGGAACCAUACUCCCGCCACCUCUACCCUCUCUCUCUUUUCUACCUCCCCCCUCUCUCUCUCUCUCUCUCUCUCUCUCUCUCUCUCUCUCUCUCUCUCUCUCUCUCUCUCUCUCUCUCUCUCUCUCUCUCUCUCUCUCUCUCUCUCUCUCUCUCUCUCUCUCAUCUCCUGAGAAUGUCACGCUCAGCGCUCUCUCUAACCCCAGUGUGGAAACGUAAUUAAUCUGAUGAUGAUAAUUCUGCACCUCAUGUGGUAGAUGAGUGCUAAAUGCCCUUUCUCUUUCAUGUUUAUUUAUUCUCUCUCUCUCUCUCUCUCGCUCUCUCUGUGUUUCUUCUCAACGAUGAUCGGAGAAAACUUGCCAAGAAGAGGGAAGGAAGGAUGAGAGAAAGAAGAAAAGAAAUGAAAAGAGAGAGUGAAAUAGAGAUGGAGAGAGAGAGACAGAGAGAGACCAGCAGUGCAGCAGUCAUCUUCUUUAAUUAAAAGUAAUAAAUCGUUGAUUGCUCUCGUUGGUUCUGGCAAGAGGCUAACCUUUCUCUCUGGAACGACAUGACCCAGAUCUUCAGUACACCUCCCAGACCUCUGACAACCCUCCCUCCUUACCUUAUCCUCUCCUCCACCAUUGAAGUCCUGAGAAACGGUUUCGGCACACACACUCAAAGAAAUGCUGGGCUAAAAACAACCAAGAAAUGCUGGGUUAAAAACAACCCAGCGCCGGGUAAAUAGUGGACAGAAAACACGUUGGCUUAUUUUUGACCCGGUUGGGUCACUUAGUUGGGUUAUUGAGCUAUGAUACGCCGGGUCAGAUCAGAAGUCAGGAAGUGUGGCUUGGUAGGGGCGUGGCUUUCAGACAGUUCAUUUUGGUCACCCAUGAGAGUAAAUGUCAUUCUGUUUUGUUAUAUUGUCAAAAUAUGUUAAAGGUAUUGCACAGCCAUUCUGAUUCCCAUGUAAAAAAAUAUAUUAAAAAAGCCUUUAAAUGA